UCGAGAAUCAUUCGCAAUGGGCGAAAGCCUGACGGUGCGACACCGCGUGGAGGAUGAAGGCCCUAGGGUCGUAAACUCCUGUCAUCAGGGAGUAAUGGCUCAUAUAGUAACUGAUAUGGGUCUUGAUAGUACCUGAAGAGGAAGGGACGGCAAACUUCGUGCCAGCAGCCGCGGUAAUACGAAGGUCCCAAGCGUUGUUCGGAUUUACUGGGCGUAAAGCGUGCGCAGGCGGUUGUGUAAGUCAGAUGUGAAAUCCCCGGGCUCAACCUGGGAAUUGCAUUUGAGACUGCACGGCUAGAGUGUGUCAGAGGGGGGUAGAAUUCCACGUGUAGCAGUGAAAUGCGUAGAUAUGUGGAGGAAUACCGAUGGCGAAGGCAGCCCCCUGGGAUAACACUGACGCUCAUGCACGAAAGCCAGGGGAGCAAACGGGAUUAGAUACCCGCGUAGUCCCUGAGCGGGCUGGCAAGGCGCAU
rnacentral:rRNA from 1 species